GGGGAGUGAAAGAGAACCUGAAACCUUGUGCUUACAAGCAGUCGGAGGGCGUUAAGGCCUGACGGCGUACUUUUUGUAGAACGGUCCGGCGAGUUAUUGUACAUGGCGAGGUUAAGUGCUUAGGGCACGGAGCCGCAGCGAAAGCGAGUCUGAAUAGGGCGAUGAGUCAUGUGCAAUAGACCCGAAACCGGGUGACCUAUCCAUGGACAGGCUGAAGUUGGAGUAAAGUCCAAUGGAGGGCCGAACCCACUCCCGUUGAAAAGGUAGGGGAUGAGCUGUGGAUAGGGGAGAAAUUCCAAUCGAACUCGGAGAUAGCUGGUUCUCCUCGAAAUAGCUUUAGGGCUAGCCUCAGGUUAGUCUAGCGGAGGUAAAGCACUGAAUGGGCUAGGGGCCUUACCGGGUUACCGAACCCUAUCAAACUCUGAAUGCCGCAUAGAUGAUGCCUGGGAGUCAGACUAUGGGAGAUAAGUUUCAUAGUCAAAAGGGAAACAGCCCAGACCGCCGACUAAGGUCCCGAAGUCAUGGUUAAGUGGGAAAGGAUGUGGGCUUGCUAAGACAACUAGGAUGUUGGCUUAGAAGCAGCCAUUCAUUCAAAGAGUGCGUAAUAGCUCACUAGUCGAGUGAGCCUGCGCCGAAAAUUACCGGGGCUAAACCAUGUACCGAAGUCGCGGAUGCAGAUGAGUUUUUCUGAUGAUUCAUUCGAAGGUAAUUUGGUGGCGAAGCCACUAAAUUGAAAAAGCUAAUAGCGCGUACCGAAUGAGUCACGAGGAAAACUCAUCUGCGUGGUAGAGGAGCUUAGCAUAUGGGCUGAAGCAUGACCGGAAGGACAUGUGGACUGUAUGCUAGUGAGAAUGCCGGAAUGAGUAGCGAGAGUGAAGUGAGAAUCUUUACCGCCGAAAAUCUAAGGUUUCCUGGGGAAGGUUCGUCCGCCCAGGGUAAGUCGGGGCCUAAGCCGAGGCCGAAAGGCGUAGGCGAUGGACAACAGGUUGAUAUUCCUGUACCACCGAUGCUCGUUUGAGAGACGCGGGGACGCAGGGGGAUAGUUCGUGCCAGUUGCUGGAAUAGCUGGUCCAAGCGAGGUAGGUAGUCCUGUAGUGAAGUACGCAGGAUGUUCCGAAGGCGUGACGGGGAGGGAAAUUAGAGUACCGAAGUGAACGAUUCCGCACUGACGAGAAAAGCCGCUAUCGAGAGCAAAGGUGCCCGUACCGCAAACCGACACAGGUAGAUGGGGAGAGAAUCCCAAGGCGAUCGGAAGAAGGGUUGUUAAGGAACUCGGCAAAUUGACCCCGUAAGUUCGCGAGAAGGGGUGCCUCUGGAAACAGGGGCCGCAGAGAAUAGGCCCAGGCAACUGUUUAGCAAAAACACAGGUCUCUGCUAAAUCGAAAGAUGAAGUAUAGGGGCUGACGCCUGCCCGGUGCUGGAAGGUUACGGGGAUCUGUUAGCGCAAGCGAAGCAGUGAACUUAAGCCCCAGUAAACGGCGGCCGUAACUAUAACGGUCCUAAGGUAGCGAAAUUCCUUGUCGGGUAAGUUCCGACCCGCACGAAUGGCGUAAUGAUCUGGGCACUGUCUCGACAACCUAUCCGGUGAAAUUGUAGUACUCGUGAAGAUGCGAGUUACCCGCGACUAGACGGAA
rnacentral:rRNA from 1 species